UUAGCUCAGUUGGUUAGAGCAUCUGACUGUUAAUCAGAGGGUCCAAGGUUCAAGUCCUU
rnacentral:ncRNA from 14 species